GAAAGAGUUGGCACACUUCCACUGUAACAGUCCUGCAAAUGCCUUCUUUUCUUGAUGGAAUGGGUUGAGAGGAGUCCCCUCCAAAGACAGGGAAAGAAUUGGCACACUUCCACUGUAACAGUCCUGCAAAUGCCUUUGGGAUGGUCGAGCCACCACAUGCUGGUGUAGUGGAUUGAUCAGCUGUGAUUCUUUGGGUACAGGUGAAUUGCUUUGUUGCAGGUUAAUUCAGGCUGUGUUUACUCAAGUUACUCUGAUCCCCUUUUCAGGCUGCUCCAUGUGUUUUUGGAGAGACAAUACCCAAACACCUUCAGAGGAUGAACCCUGCUCCUCUCUAUUUACAGAAGAGUGUUUUAUUUCCUUGCUGUCUGGAAGACUUCACGUUUUCAUCAUCAUCCUUUAUGAGUUUUAAAUCUUUUUACUUUUUUUUCCCCCUAAGUUGGCAAUUUUUAACUGGUUCCUGGUGAGCAGAGCCCUGGUGAGCUUCAAAACCACACACAGUUUCAAUGAAGCUGUGUGAACCUGCUUCACAAUCUCUGCAAGUUUUCCAAGCUUUUAUGCUCUCGUAUGGUUUACAGACAAAACCCUACGGGGGUCCCAUUUAAAGUCUCCUAGCAGCUAAAAGAUAGAGGAAAAAAAUGGCUUUUAAAAAACCUGAAGUACCCUCUUAUGAGUGCAUUAAAAGCAAUUUUGUUUGCUUUCCACCUUCAAAAUGCUUCGAGCCGCCAAAGACGCGAUGAUGGAAAAUGACUCACGAGUACCGGAGAGAAACAGGCUUUGGAAGUUGGCUCAUAGUGAAGGAUGAUAGCCAGGUUUUCAGCAAUUGUGUGAAAAUCAGCUCAGACCUUCUGUUUGUUCCUGUGGAUGUUAUCAGCGUUGGGAGAUCAGGGCCUCUGCUGAGAGAGAAGGAGUGCCAAAGCAAUGAAGGCUCCUAAUUUAACCCACUGGCUUGUGUAAGAUUCAAAAAGCAGGAAAAUCUUUCUCUCUUUCAGGUAGCUUAAUGGCCACAGUCAUGUUAGGGUGAUGGUCGGACUCUAUCCUCUUAGAGGUCUCUUCCAACCCAAACAUUUCUGUGAGUCUGAAAAUCAGGGUGUGUCAGUUCUCUGAGGGUAUGUCCUGUAGGCUUUAGAAGCUUUAAUGUUGAGUUGUAUUUCUUGGUUUUAAAUUCUCUUUGCAGUGUU